CGUAUCACCCAAGACAACUUUACGGAGUUGACGAUUGACGGAGCGAAGCGACGUCAAAGCGUUCAUUAAAGUCGAGUUGGCUUAGGGAUACGUUCGUUGGGUAGGGGAGCGUUCUGUAAGCCUGUGAAGGUGUGUCGUGAGGCAUGCUGGAGGUAUCAGAAGUGCGAAUGCUGACAUAAGUAACGAUAAAGCGGGUGAAAAGCCCGCUCGCCGGAAGACCAAGGGUUCCUGUCCAACGUUAAUCGGGGCAGGGUGAGUCGACCCCUAAGGCGAGGCCGAAAGGCGUAGUCGAUGGGAAACGGGUUAAUAUUCCCGUACUUGGUGUUACUGCGAAGGGGGGACGGAGAAGGCUAUGUUGGCCGGGCGACGGUUGUCCCGGUUUAAGCGUGUAGGUGUGUGUUCCAGGUAAAUCCGGUUCACUUUAACACUGAGGCGUGACGACGAGGCACUACGGUGCUGAAGCAACAAAUGCCCUGCUUCCAGGAAAAGCCUCUAAGCAUCAGGUAACACGAAAUCGUACCCCAAACCGACACAGGUGGUCAGGUAGAGAAUACCAAGGCGCUUGAGAGAACUCGGGUGAAGGAACUAGGCAAAAUGGUGCCGUAACUUCGGGAGAAGGCACGCUGACACGUAG
rnacentral:rRNA from 2 species